rnacentral:lncRNA from 1 species
UAGUACUUCUCCAUGCCAAGUCCAAACGGUAUACGAUCUCGUUAUGCCGAACAUGAAUAGAUGAUCAUGCAAAUUGCCCAAGUCUUGUCGUAUUUGAUUAGCAUAACGAACACAAGGACAAAAAUAUGUGCCGUUCACAGACUUUGCAUUUUCUUUAACAUAUUGCAAGAACACCGAAACACCCUUCUCAUAUUCUUCAGAGAUGCGACGUGCAUU